CACAGAUGAACACACAUUGAACAUGUUAUUUUUAUCAAAAAUAACAGAGUUUUACAAAACAUUCAGAGAUCCAGGACACAUAGGGCUUCCCAGCCCACAUGGACCACUCUUCUCAUGCUGUGGCCAUGUGGGCUCAGACCAAUGUCUCAGACAUAAGUGAGCCAGCCUUCACCUUUAGCAGAGCCAAACUGGGGUGCAACCAGGCCCUGGGCAUUUACACCUGAAAAUCUUGCCUAGCUUCAGGGAAGAGGCAGCAGUCAGAACAGGUUCAGGCUCUUUGGCAGGGCUCGCCAGCCUCCAGGUUGAAGUCUUUUUCCUCUUGCUUCCUAGUCCCCACUUCUCAGCCAGUUGCUGCUUUCUUCCAUUUGUGACCCUCUGCCUUCUUGCCUUGAAUGUCCCCUUCCUUCUCUGUACUUGACCUUAGCUCUGCCCUUUGGAAUACUGCUGCCUCUGGUCCUUUGAGAACUCUGUCUCCUCCAUUCAAGGAGAGGAAUCAAAUAAUCAAGGGGUUGUGUGUCCCUCUCCUCUGUGUUUUCCUCUGGUCCAGGCACAAACUCUUCUCAGUGUGCCACAGCAGGCUUGAAUGGGUCCAAGGAACAUGUUCUUGAAACAAAGGAAAAAACAGGCCAGAAACACUAACUCAGAGUGGCUAAGAAGGUGGCCUUGGGGACAGACUGCCUGGAUGCAAAUCCUAAUUACCAGCUGUGUGGCAUGGCAAAUGACUGACUUCUGUGCCUUGGAUUUCUCCUCUGGCAGGUCCAGGUAGAAAUAAUUUUUAUAAAAUAGAAGUUCAUGUAAAGCACUGAAAACAGAGCCUGGCAAUAGGAAAUAAGUGCUAAAAGGAUGUUAGCCAUUAUUAUUAUUGUUGUUAUUAUUAUUGCUAUUUCUGAAACAUCUGACUGUAGGCAAGUAACGUAUUCAUUCAGUUUUCUCCUAUCAGGGUUGCGGUCAGGUUUAAAUGAGCUUAUGCACUGGGAUCAUUGAGUACAGUUCCUGGCACCGAGUUGGUUCUGCAAUCACUGUUUUCUAUGGGUCCCUUCUGUGGGCUAAGCCUGUGAGAGAUGUGGCUGUGCCUGCCUGGCAAACCAUUGGCCUCUGUUUGCCACACAGAGCCAGGCACACAGCAGGUGCUCAGGAGGACACGUUGUUAGUCUACGAGUCUCUCCUUACCAGUAACUUACUCAGCACAAAGGGAGAAAUAGUGAUUUCACAGUGGAGAGGCCAAGCAGACACCACCCUAACCAAGGGGUCAAAGCAAACAGGGCCAACAUCAGGACAGACCUGCAUGACGUGCCCUGCAAUGAGAUAACUUAGAAGGACACAGCAGAACUGCAGUGGGAUUCCCUCCUGCCACCGACGUGGAGCUCGAACCCCACCUUGAGAAACGACCAGAGGAACUCAACUGAGGCACCUCUUACAAAGCAGCUGACCUGUCCCCAGAAAUGUCAAGGUCAAGAAACAAAAAGGAAGACUAAGGAACUGUUCCAGAUCAAAAGAGAUUAAAAGAUGUGACAAUGGAAUGCAAUGCAUAAACCUGGACUGAACUUGGACUGGAUCCACAACUGGGAAAAAAAUGGGUAUCACCAACAUUAUUGGGAUAAUUGAUGAAAUUAGAAUGUGGGCUGUGGGUUAGAUCGUAUUAUUAUAUUAAUGUUACAUUUUCUGAUUUUGAUCACUGAACUGUGGUUAUAUAAGACACAGUCGUCUUAGAAAAUAAACAUUAAAAUAUUUAGAUAUAUACUGAAAUAUUUAGGUGUAAAGGGUCAGGAGUUCUCAAAUUCUCAAAUAGUUCAGAAAAUUGUAUAUACUUAUACACACACACACACACCCCACACACACAUACACAUAUAGAGAAAGAGAGAGUCUAUUUCAUCCCAGCUAUUAUUUUCUUAAGGUUAUCUUCUUUCUUUGAGCUUUUUCAGUUUUGCUUGUUUUUGGACUUUAUUUACAUGAGAUCACACUGGAUGUAUUCUUCGUAUCUUUUCUUUCUUUCUUUCUUUCUUUCUUUCUUUCUUUCUUUCUUUCUUUCUUUCUUUCUUUCUUUCUUCUUUUUUUUUUUUUUUUUUUUGGCAGAAUCUCCAUCUGUUGCCCAGGCUGGAGUGGAGUGGCACGAUCUUGGCUCACUACAGCCUCUGCCUCCCGGGUUCAAGUGAUUCUCCUGCCUCAGCUUCCCGAGUAGCUGGGAUUACAAGUGUGCACCACCAUGCCUGGCUAAUUUUUGUAUUUUUUAGUAGAGAUAGGGUUUCACCAUGUUGGCCAGGCUAGUCUCAAACUCCUGACCUCAAGUGAUCCUCCUGCCUCAGCCUUCCAAAGAGCUGGGAUUACAGGUGUGAGCCAACAUGCCCAGCCUAUAUCUGAUUUCUUGGCUCAGCAUUACAGUUCUGAGACUCAUCUGUGUUUCUGUGUAGAGAAGGGAUUUGUUCAUUUCCACUGGUAUACAGAAUUCCAUUUUUUCUGUAUCCGUUCUCCCAUUGGUGUGCAUUUUGGUUGUUUUCUCUUUUUAGCUAUUAUGAAUGAUGUAGCUGUGAACAUUCUUGCACAUUUUUGGUGAACAAGGUAUACAUUUACGCUGUGUUGAUUCAUACGAGUGGAACUGUUGAUUUAUAUAGUAUACAUGUGUUCCACUUUAGUAGAUACUGACAAUUUGUCAAGUUUCUUGGACACUUUAUACUUCCACCAGUGGUGUAUAAGCAUUCUGGUUGCUGCACAUCCUUGUCAACACUUGAUAUUGUCAGCCAUUUGAAUUUUAGUCAUUCAAACAGGUGUAUCUUAUUGUGGGGUUAUAUCACAUUUCUCUAACGACUAUUGAAAGUGAGCCCCUUAUGUUUAUUGGCCAUUUAAAUACACUGUUUUCUGAAGUGUUUAUUCUAAUCCUUUGCCCAUUUUUUUCUGUGGGCUAUCAUUUCUCAUUGAUUUGGAAGAGUCCUUUAUAUAUUCUAGAUAGAAGGCCUUUGUCAGAUAUGCUUAUUGUGAAUGCUUUCUCCUGCUCCAUGGCUUGGCUUUUCAGGCUUUUCGUAGUGUCUCUUGAUAAGGAGAAGGUUUCAUUUUUAUGAGGUCCACAUUUCCAUUUUUUUUCAUAAACUCAUAUUCCAACCUUUAUUCUCUUAAAGAAUUAAACUGAAAAGACUGUGAAGGUGAAGGCUAAAAUCAGGAAGAUUCCAAUUCUAGGUUCCAGCUAGAAGGUCCUACCCAGGAGGUCCCAAGUUAAACUAGCUCACCCUCCUUCCUCCUCAGGCCCUGCCAGGUAUGUGUGUGGUAUCGUGGAGUGAGGUGCUUAGGGAAGACUGGUGGAGAGAGGAACAACUCCAGGCAGCACAUAAAAUCUGGGAUUCAGAAGUCCAGCCUCCUUCUCCCCUGACUCCCCCAUCCCAGGGCUCCAGGACCAUUCUUUCCAGGCUCAGGCACAGUCCUCCCAGAGGGAUACCUCAGAGUGGACAGAGAUGCAGUAUUGCAGUUCAUGUCUCAGGGUCAUCUGCAAAGGUGGGUGCUAAGUGACUUGGGACCCAGAGGAUGAGAAAUCACUCUACUGGCAGGAUGUCAGGGAGAGGUGUAGAUCAGUGAAGACUUCACAGAGGAGGGGAUUGUUGGGAUUGGUUUUUAUGGGUGUACAGGAACCUGCCAGAUAGACAAGAGGAAGAAGGGCAUUCCAGGUAGACAAGCAUCCAGGACCCAGAAGGAGUUAAAACACUUGGGGAAACUGUAGGGUCUAAAAUAGGGUGUGAGGAAGGGAGCAGCCAUGGCCCUCAAUUUUCCCAUCUGCACGUGGGAUGUUUGAAUCAGCUGAUCUCCCUGCUGACACAUUGUUCAUUCUUCAUUGGUGAGUGUGAUGGAUGUGGAGAAGACUCAGAUAUAGGCUCCAUCUUUGACGAGGAGAAAGGGAGGGGCACAGAUAAGAGAUCUGAGAGUUGAGGAGGUAGAAUCCUGGAAGGUUGCACUGGACCUAGGCCUUGAAAACUCUCCUAUCCCCUCAGCUGUGAAGGAUGCGUCAGAGGGUCUUGCUACAGGUCACUAGAAAAUUCUGAGCUGGUCCCCAGUGUGGCAGUUAGGGCUUGGGACUCUCUUCCUGAUUCAAAGUCCCCAAGUGGGGACCCAGUGGGGCAGGGGAGAAGUCUGGUUCAGGUGGGGGAGCUGACCUCUGCUCCUCAAAGAGGACACACCCAUGGACUAUGCAGCCCUCCUCACAGGUCGUGCAGAAGACGCUUGUAUAAAUUGCCUAUGCCAAAAGGUAGUAUAGGGUUCUAGGUGCUUGGUAGAGAGCUUGCUGCCUGGACCCAUUCUGAUAUGCCUCUCACCCCUGAGCAGGGAGGCUUCGUGCAGGUCAAUAAAAGCAAGCCCUCUCUGUAGAAGUCAAAUACCAAGUUUUCCUGCAGAACACAGCGCCCCACACCUAUGUGUGCAAGUGUGCACAGACACAAAUAUGCACACGCACCUUGCACAGUGUUUCUUCUCCAAGCUUCCUUAAGCAAAUAAAGCUUGAAAUUGAAGUUGGAAUUGAAGGCUAAAAUGCUUUAUCACCAACUCACCUCUAUCUCCUAAUGAAGUUGGGUUUAAAAAAUUUUUAUACCGUUUUAACAACUCAUUUUCAGAUAUACAUCCUCCCAGCAGAGUGUACUUGUCUGUUUUUCUCUCCUUCUUUCUCUCCAUGUCUGUGUCUCCCUCUUUCUCUCUGGUUUCCCUCCAGGUAGUGGGGACAGGACCCAGUCCUGUUGCAGAUGUGUGAUGGGGCUGGCUCAUACAGAUUUGUGAGAGCACUUCUUUCAGCUCCAUAGUCAACAACAUAAAGCCCAAUAGUGAAAGUGUUUACACCACAGAAAUUGGCAAAUGCUACGAAUCCAGCCUUUUUGUUUUUCUGGGACAGCUCGUUGUAUAAAUUUUACCACCUGGCUGGGCUGUCACCUAUAUUACCAGCAGCAGAAGCUGGGCCCUGGUUUGAGGUCUAUCCCUCUGUUCCCUUGUGUGUUGCCGCCCCAGAUAUUUUGGGUUGGCCACAGACCUUUGUGACAUCUAUUUACUAUAACCAUAAGUGUCUCAUAGGCAGAGGUUGAAUAUGCGAGGGAGUCUGGGGGUGACUGAUCUUAUGGAAGCCUGAUUCCCCAAACACCUCUCUGAGCCAAUUGAGAAAUCCAGGCAGAUCAUAAGUAGUGUAAUUUCACACCAGUGCUUUUCAAAUAUUGACCUAAUGGGAAUUUGGAGGCAAGGCAGAACUCUGUAGGGCAGAGAAUGCAGAGGAAGAAGACAGAGGUUGCAUUAGUUUUUGGAACUCUCUUGCCUCGUUUUCAGCUCUGGUCCAAACGUGCACACUCCCCUUAGCAGUCAUAAGUUCUGCUGCUAAUGCUGUGCUGGCCCUCCUUAGAAGGCAGGGGAGUGAGGAUAUGUGACUACACAGGCCUACCCUGGGGGCUCUCUCUGCUCCAACUCCCCACUGCUCACAGGUGCUCAAAGUUAUCUUCCCAAACCACAGGCACUAGCCCCAGGGAGAAGUCCAUGGAACAGUAUUUCCUGUAUCUUCUUGCAUUCCCAGGGAUGGCUUAGGGCUCCUCAUAGAUUGGCACUCUAUGCUGUUGUCCAGCUGGCCUGGCUUUCAAACCUCCCUGUAGUCUCAGAAUGGCUGGAGUGGUCUUGCCCUCUCUGACUGACCCUUUGAAUCAGGCCAGCUGACCUGAGGCUGUACCUUUCCUCCCUACCUCUUACUUCCCACUCCAUCUUCCAUCUACCCACUCUACCCUGCCGGUCCUCCCUGGAUUUGUUGACAAUAUCAAACAUGGCUGAGAAAAGCUCCAAUCCUGGCAAUCUCAGUCCUGAUCAGGCCCUUAGGCUGGGCCAUUUGGCAGAUGUCCCAAAACUACAUUUCCUGACCCCUGUGUCACCUUGGUGCCAGGGAAACAGCCCAGUGUGAUGAGGACACCCAUAGGAGUGAUCAGAACCCAAGGGUCACCGUGGCUUAGAUUUCAGCCCCAGGAGCUGACUGUACACUGUGAGCAAGACACCUUACCUCCCUGAAUCUUAGUUUUCCCAUCUGCAAAGUGGGGCUGCUAAUUCACCUCUUUGGUUUACCAAGAGUCUUAGAUGAAAUUAUGGCCUAAAGGUGUCUACUCUUUUCUUAAUCAAUAUUUUGGGGCAGCUCUACGUGCCAGGCCCUGAGCCAGGAGCACAGUAGGUACCUAGCUGAUAAUUUGCUUUCCUAUGUCCCUUCCUCUCAUACAAAAAAGACUACAGAGAUUGCAAAAAGGAGCUGAAAAAAUGACUCUGCAUUCUGGUCUUCUGGACAGUGCUGGAGGGGAAAUUGUGUCCAGCAUAGCUUUGGUGCCACUGCCACAAAAGCAAGUGUACAUAACAAAAUCUCAGGCCAGCACUGUUAGGCAAGGCAUCCCUUGGGUGGCCCAAGCCUCUGGUCUCAGCAGCCAGACACUGGGUUGCAAUAAGGCAGGGAAAACAACCUCAAAUUCCUUGAAAGUCUAAACCCUCAGCCAGUGCUUUACCAGCAGGUUAAGAUCUGGCCCAAGUUCAGAAUGGACAGUCUAGGCAGGUUCCUGGGCUUGAAGGCUUGAGGGUGGGGCCUGGUGGGGCAGAAGAUAGGUGAGCAGGGUAGUGGUGAAUGAAACAUAUCAGCGUCACUCAUGGGGUUUCUAAACAGCCCUGGGGCCCAGGCUGCAAAGGGUGGGAAUAUCUACUGUGCUCUGUACUUUCUGCACGCUAUUUUAGCUAAUCAUGAGCCCAUUUUACAGAUAGAAAAACUGAGGAUCAGCUGGAGUCAACAGCUUACCUGACAUCACCUUGAGUGGCAGAGAUGUAAUAACUCAAGUUGGCCAGCUCUUCUUCCUAUUCAGCACUGAACCGGGCCAUUGGCAAGUGUUCCAUCAGCACCUUAACAAAAACUGGACUGUGAGCCAAAACCUAGAACUAUCCAUAGCUAGUGAAACAAUGAGAACAGAACCAGCCCUUGUCCCUCCCCACACAGCCUAAUUAAUGUGUACAGACAAGAACCACUGCACAUCACUUAUUAUUUAACUGGCGUAUAAGUACCAUCAAAGGUGCCAUAGUCAUGCGUGGUGGCUCACAUCUGUAAUCUGAGCACCUUGGGAGGCCGAGGUGGGAGGAUCACCUGGGGUCAGGAGUUCGAGACCAGCCUGGCCAACAUGGUGAAACACCAUCUCUACUAAAAAUACAAAAAUUAGCUGGGUGUGGUGGCCAGUGCCUGUAGUCCCAGAUAUUUGGGAGCCUGAGGCAGGAGAAUCACUUGAACCUGGGAGGCGGAGGUUGCAGUGAGACGAGAUUGCACCGCUGCACUCCAGGCUGGGUGACAAGAGCGAAACUUGGUCUCAAAAAAAAAAAAAAAGUCCCCUGCUCCCCAAAGAGCUGAG
rnacentral:lncRNA from 1 species